GACGAACGCUGGCGGCGUGCCUAAUACAUGCAAGUCGAACGCAGUUGCGAACGGGUGAGUAACGCGUAGGUAACUGCCUCAUAGCGGGGGAUAACUAUUGGAAACGAUAGCUAAUACCGCAUACUGUGAGAUGGACCUGCGUUGUAUUAGCUAGUUGGUGGGGUAAAGGCUCACCAAGGCGCCGAUACAUAGCCGACCUGAGAGGGGGGGCGGCCACACUGGGAGUGGGACACGGCCCAGACUGCCACGGGAAGCAGCCGUAGGGAUACGGCGGGAAUGGACGGAAGUCUGACCGAAAAACGCCGAGUGAGUAAAGAGGGUUGUCGGAUCGGAAAUCACGGUUUUUGGAGAAGCGGUAACGAACCAGAAAGGGACGGCUAACUACGUGCCAGCAGCCGCGGUAAUAC
rnacentral:rRNA from 1 species